AUGCCUGUGUUUAUGAUAAUCACGCUUGUUUUUCAGAUUUCGAAAGGAGGUUCUUCCCAGUCUGUGAAGCUUUAUUGCCAACCGCUGUCCUUCUUCAUUUGCAACAAUGUAAAUAUCCGAUUCUUUGCCAACACCCACCUGGUUUCCAGCGGACGCAACUACCUGUCUAGAAGAAAGUGUUUUCAAAGCUGGGUAAUCAUAGCCUGCAUUUGUCAACCGGUAGCCCUGGACAGUUUUGGUGCGCUCCCAAGCUAUGAGUUUAUGUUUCACUAAUUCUGUUAAAACUUUAUUACAGCCACCAUGUUUAAGGCUGGCUAUAGAAGCAACUAAACUGCAGGGAACUAUUUCAUGGUUCCUCACGCCCAUUUCAACCGCGGUCAGGACCCUGAAGUCAUCCCAGCUCAGGUAACGUAACUUGGCCACGUUCACCUUCCCGGUGGCGCCCGAAGACCAAGCCAGGAGCCUCCCCCUCUGCAGCCGCAGACUCGCCUCUGCGGGCGCCUCCCUGUAUGUUUACUUUGGAACUAGGACCAGAAUCGCUACAAGUUUCCUGUGUUUCCACUUGAGAAAACUUUUCCUUCCAGAGGGGAAGUGACUAGGUACUUUAGGGAUCUUUUGUGUUUGUGGCCUUACAUAUCAGUGGAGGAUUUUUUAAACACAUUCUAGAAGAUGAAUUAAUUACAGAAACUCAUGAUUUGUUCUCACUAUAUAGGUAUUUACCUUUAAAAAUAAGAAAAAGGAAUAGAAAUAAGUGUUGCAUGAGCAAUUAUCAAAAAUGUAUUAAUAACACUUGUAUAAAGCAUUUUUAGCUAGGGAACUCAAUAUAGAAUUAUAUAUAAAUCCAGAUUUACACAUUACUCUUAGCCAAGGUAAUCUGUGAAGUGAUGAGACUUGUCUGAUAAAUAGCUUUAUCUAUUUUCCCUGAUUUUACCAUGUGUGGAAUGCAAGUAAGCAUCAGAAUUGCUCGAUUUUAUUUUAUUGCAUCUGAUGUAAGACUUGAUUUUUUCCCCCUAAAGAUUUAUUUAUUUAUUUUAAAGAGAGAGAGCAUGAACAGGAGGUAUAAAGGGAGAGGGAGAGAGAAUUGCAAGUAGACUCCAUGCUGAUCUUGGAGUCUGAUGUGGGGCUUGAUCCCAGGUUGCUGAGAUCAUGAUCUGAGCUGAAACCAAGAGUCAGAUCCUUAACUAACUGUGCCACCCCAGCACUCCAAGACUUGGCUUUUCUCAUGGAAAAUCCUAGUUAAUAAAUAUCCUGAUUUUUUCACAUUGGUUAUGAGUCAGAUAAGUUAUCAUUAUUUCCACAAAAUAUUUCAGGUUAUGAAGAAUGCAAAUGUUUUCAGUUAAGUUGAAUGACAACAAAUGAUGACUUUAUUGUACGUUUUGGCAAUUGUUUGGACUUAGCUACCCCACUUGCGUUGUCUUUUGUAAUUCAUUCAUAUUAUCUUUUUGAUGACCUUUUAAUAUCACUAGUGAUUUGUUACUUUGUAUUGUCAAUUUAAAUGACUUAAAGACUUUAGGAUUAAUAUUUAGCAGGGUAAAUUUAUGAGAAAUCUUUGGUUUUCUACAAAAUUUUUAAAGAAACUAAAAUUCAUAGAGCAAAGGGGUAGAGUUACCUAGUAUGGUUUUGACUUCUUUUUUCUAAGGCUGAAAUUGAGAAGAUAAGGUCAAUGUGGUAUAUAGUUAAUUUUUUUAAUAUGAUGAUUAAGUAAAUUAUAUUUUAAAGUCAAGGUUGAAAGCUAAUCAUGAUAUUGUUAUGUAGCUAUAUGUUUAAGAUCAUAUGCACAUAUUACUGUAUAUUUUCAAAUUAAGAAGCAAAAUAAAUGCAUGUAUAAUAAAGAUGAGGGACCUGGUAACUUAAAAUUGGCCUUAGAAUAUUGAGUCUGCUGUAAACAAGAACUAUUCUCUACCUUACUGUAAUCCAUCCAGAGACUGGGAAUUCUUACCUUGUCAGGUACUCUAAGCCCUUUGGCUAACUUCUGUUAUGCUACUGAAUUGUUAAAACAAAGAAUAAAAAUUCAUCGCAUCUGAAAGCUAUUAAGUCUCUUGUUAAUUGUCCCCUAAUUAAUUAAUAUUAUUAGUUUUCUCUGUUUUUAAUUUUUAAAAAGAUUUUAUAUACUUAUUUUAGAGAGAGAGAGAGAGAAAGAGUGGUGGAGGAGCAGAGGGAGAAGGACAAGAAGACUCUGUACUGAACAUAGAGCCCCAUGCAGGGCUUGAUCCCAGAACCCUAAGAUCAUGACUUGAGCCAAAACCAAGAGUCAGAAGCUUAAUUGGCUGAGCCACCCAGGUACCCCUUCCUGUUAUUUGGGGGGAAAAACUGUACAGAAACUGUAGCUAUUAAGGUAUCCAAUGCAACCAUUCAGCUAUGUUUUUGUUUAGAAAAAUAAAGCUGAGGUAUUAUUAUACUCAGAGCCAUCUUUGGCACUUCUUAGGGGAUGACUUCUAAGGCUUGUUCUUUUAGCUGAAAUCCAUGGCAUGGGAAUCAGUGGCAACAGGGAUGCUGAGAACAAUGUGGUAUAGUUGGUAUGCUCUACAUUUCUUCAUUUCUGCAUUAGUUUAGCCCCAUUAGGGGAUUUGCCCUGAGAAAAUGUGGGUAAAAGCUAUCAGGUCAAAAAAGGGCAACUAGACCUUUCCUGAGAAAAUUUAUUAAUAUAUAUUUGCUUCAUCACAGAUUGUACAAUCAUCAGGAUGGAAAGAAGGGCUCUGGGGAUUGUUAUGCUUUCACUGUAAUAAUUAACCAAAUUAAUGUAAAGUGGUUAUGUCUUU
rnacentral:lncRNA from 1 species